rnacentral:rRNA from 1 species
AGAGUUUGAUCAUGGCUCAGAUUGAACGCUGGCGGCAGGCCUAACACAUGCAAGUCGAACGGUAACAGGAAGCAGCUUGGCUGCUUUGCUGACGAGUGGCGGACGGGUGAGUAAUGUCUGGGAAACUGCCUGAUGGAGGGGGAUAACUACUGGAAACGGUGGCUAAUACCGCAUAACGUCGCAAGACCAAAGAGGGGGACCUUCGGGCCUCUUGCCAUCAGAUGUGCCCAGAUGGGAUUAGCUUGUUGGUGAGGUAACGGCUCACCAAGGCGACGAUCCCUAGCUGGUCUGAGAGGAUGACCAGCCACACUGGAACUGAGACACGGUCCAGACUCCUACGGGAGGCAGCAGUGGGGAAUAUUGCACAAUGGGCGCAAGCCUGAUGCAGCCAUGCCGCGUGUAUGAAGAAGGCCUUCGGGUUGUAAAGUACUUUCAGCGGGGAGGAAGGUGUUGUGGUUAAUAACCGCAGCAAUUGACGUUACCCGCAGAAGAAGCACCGGCUAACUCCGUGCCAGCAGCCGCGGUAAUACGGAGGGUGCAAGCGUUAAUCGGAAUUACUGGGCGUAAAGCGCACGCAGGCGGUCUGUCAAGUCGGAUGUGAAAUCCCCGGGCUCAACCUGGGAACUGCAUUCGAAACUGGCAGGCUUGAGUCUUGUAGAGGGGGGUAGAAUUCCAGGUGUAGCGGUGAAAUGCGUAGAGAUCUGGAGGAAUACCGGUGGCGAAGGCGGCCCCCUGGACAAAGACUGACGCUCAGGUGCGAAAGCGUGGGGAGCAAACAGGAUUAGAUACCCUGGUAGUCCACGCCGUAAACGAUGUCUACUUGGAGGUUGUGCCCUUGAGGCGUGGCUUCCGGAGCUAACGCGUUAAGUAGACCGCCUGGGGAGUACGGCCGCAAGGUUAAAACUCAAAUGAAUUGACGGGGGCCCGCACAAGCGGUGGAGCAUGUGGUUUAAUUCGAUGCAACGCGAAGAACCUUACCUGGUCUUGACAUCCACAGAACUUUCCAGAGAUGGAUUGGUGCCUUCGGGAACUGUGAGACAGGUGCUGCAUGGCUGUCGUCAGCUCGUGUUGUGAAAUGUUGGGUUAAGUCCCGCAACGAGCGCAACCCUUAUCCUUUGUUGCCAGCGGUCCGGCCGGGAACUCAAAGGAGACUGCCAGUGAUAAACUGGAGGAAGGUGGGGAUGACGUCAAGUCAUCAUGGCCCUUACGACCAGGGCUACACACGUGCUACAAUGGCGCAUACAAAGAGAAGCGACCUCGCGAGAGCAAGCGGACCUCAUAAAGUGCGUCGUAGUCCGGAUUGGAGUCUGCAACUCGACUCCAUGAAGUCGGAAUCGCUAGUAAUCGUGGAUCAGAAUGCCACGGUGAAUACGUUCCCGGGCCUUGUACACACCGCCCGUCACACCAUGGGAGUGGGUUGCAAAAGAAGUAGGUAGCUUAACCUUCGGGGGGGCGCUUACCACUUUGUGAUUCAUGACUGGGGUGAAGUCGUAACAAGGUAACCGUAGGGGAACCUGCGGUUGGAUCACCU